UACGUAGGGGGCAAGCGUUGUCCGGAUUUACUGGGCGUAAAGCGCGUGUAGGCGGUUGUUCAAGUCGGGUGUGAAAGCCUUGAGCUCAACUCAAGAAAUGCACUCGAUACUGGAUGACUAGAGGACCGGAGAGGAUAGUGGAAUUCCCAGUGUAGUGGUGAAAUACGUAGAGAUUGGGAAGAACACCAGUGGCGAAGGCGGCUAUCUGGACGGUUUCUGACGCUAAGACGCGAAAGCGUGGGGAGCAAACAGG
rnacentral:rRNA from 1 species